GUAGUGAAGGAAUACUGACAUAGCCCCUUGAUAUUAUUGAAAGUCAGUUAACAAAAAAAAAUUAUGGUAAAAAGUUUAAUCUACUGACAGAGGGGUUUAUUGUUAAAAUAAAGCACAUUUUUUUCUGCUGCAUAACAGUGUCUAGUUGCUGUUCCAAGGCAAAAUGUUUUUUUUUUUUUAUUAUUCUACGCUAAUAUUGUCAUGUUUACAAAGGCUAGUAAAAGAAGAAAAAGGAUGAAGGCACAUCAAAGUCAUAAUGAUAGAAAAUUAAAUGUUUGACUUUCUUUCAUUUUCAAUUAAAGUAAAUCUACUACAGGACGAGGUUCUAAUUUGACGCAGGCUGUAUUUUAUUUUGAAGGGAACUUGUGUGUGCUGCUGUCAAAAGUAAAAUAAAUUAAAAUUGUUACCUAGAAAUGACACUGUUAGUUCAAUUAUAGUACUUAAAAGGUACAUUUUAUAAAUGAAUAUUUUAAUGGCCAUAAACACAUAAAUAAAGUGUAUUUUUCUAGACAGGGAAAAUGGGACUUUGCUGCCCUGGCUGGAUUUUGGUCAGUAAGAACCUGGACCAAAUGGCUCAUUUAGCAUCUAAGGUUGCAGACCCUUAAGUUAUGCUGAUGUCAUAUUUGCCCCUAACAUCCAAACAUGCACCUCUUAGUGGUAAAAGAUAAAUAUUACAUCCCAGCUUGCAAUGAGACAAUAUGCAAUAUGAGUAAAUAGAAAUUCUCACAGCCAUGAUGCUGACAACUAUAUAAUUAUUGGCUGGAAUAAGUGUUGUGCCAACAACGUCAUUUAUCCUCAGAAUAAAUAAGUUAAGGAAAAGAGAUUAAAGUAGACCAUUAACUAAGUGUAGUGUUUUUUUCUUCACAAAAAUCCACUUAAGUUGUUAAAUGUCAAGUGUGGUACACUAAAACUACUGUUCGCAUUCAGUUAUUUCCUAACUCCACUAGUCUGCUAGUUUAUCAAAGUAUUAAAACUGUUAAAUGCUAUGUUUCCUAAUGGCAGAGUGGAUGUGGCACAGGAAUGGAGUUUCUUCCCUUUUUUCGAGCGCGUGCAGCUUGCCGCGUGGGCCCGUGUUUUGGCCUGCUGCCUUACAUGGGCAAACCUCUGAACUCACUCAGACGGCUGGAAUGCUGAGGCGUGACGUCACUGGCCACAACUCUUCCAGAUUUUGCUUCAAGAAGUUUCACUUUUUUUGGUUGGAUUUCAGCUUCUCCCGGGUUUCCUAGAAAGCGCAGAGAUUUCAACACACUGCAGAGAGGACAGCCAUCUUCCAGAAAUUCUUUGGAUACAAAGUAGGAAAAGGAUCCUGCCACUCUGACCCUCACAGGAGUCACCUUUUGCCCUUCACACCCCCAACCUAUCAUUACCGGUGCAAC